rnacentral:rRNA from 1 species
CUUAUGACUUAGCGGCGGACGGGUGAGUAACACGUGGGUAACCUGCCCAUGAGACUGGGAUAACUCCGGGAAACCGGGGCUAAUACCGGAUAACAUUUUGAACCGCAUGGUUCUAAAUUGAAAGGCGGCUUCUGCUGUCACUUAUGGAUGGACCCGCGUCGCAUUAGCUAGUUGGUGAGGUAACGGCUCACCAAGGCAACGAUGCGUAACCGACCUGAGAGGGUGAUCGGCCACACUGGGACUGAAACACGGCCCAGACUCCUACGGGAGGCAGCAGUAAGGAAUCUUCCGCAAUGGACGAAAGUCUGACGGAACAACGCCGCGUGAGUGAUGAAGGCUUUCGGGUCGUAAAACUCUGUUGUUAGGGAAAAACAAGUGCUAGUUGAAUAAGCUGGCACCUUGACGGUACCUAACCAGAAAGCCACGGCUAACUACGUGCCAGCAGCCGCGGUAAUACGUAGGUGGCAAGCGUUAUCCGGAAUUAUUGGGCGUAAAGCGCGCGCAGGUGGUUUCUUAAGUCUGAUGUGAAAGCCCACGGCUCAACCGUGGAGGGUCAUUGGAAACUGGGAGACUUGAGUGCAGAAGAGGAAAGUGGAAUUCCAUGUGUAGCGGUGAAAUGCGUAGAGAUAUGGAGGAACACCAGUGGCGAAAGCGACUUUCUGGUCUGUAACUGACACUGAGCGCGAAAGCGUGGGGAGCAAACAGAUUAGAUACCCUGGUAGUCCACGCCGUAAACGAUGAGUGCUAAGUGUUAGAGGGUUUCCGCCCUUUAGUGCUGAAGUUAACGCAUUAAGCACUCCGCCUGGGA